GAACCAGUACCGUGAGGGAAAGGCGAAAAGAACCCCGGAGAGGGGAGUGAAAUAGAACCUGAAACCGUAUGCGUACAAGCAGUGGGAGCCUACUUGUUAGGUGACUGCGUACCUUUUGUAUAAUGGGUCAGCGACUUAUAUUCAGUGGCAAGCUUAACCGUAUAGGGUAGGCGUAGCGAAAGCGAGUCUUAAUAGGGCGUUUAGUCGCUGGGUAUAGACCCGAAACCGGGCGAUCUAUCCAUGAGCAGGUUGAAGGUUAGGUAACACUGACUGGAGGACCGAACCCACUCCCGUUGAAAAGGUAGGGGAUGACUUGUGGAUCGGAGUGAAAGGCUAAUCAAGCUCGGAGAUAGCUGGUUCUC
rnacentral:rRNA from 1 species